AAACUGGGGUGACUCAUUCGCCCACCAGCCCCUCACUCGGCAGCUGGAGCGGCGGCAGAGCAGAGGCACCCAGGCGCUUGGCAGCGCUUGAGAGCUGGGCUACAGCCUCGAAGAAAACGGAGUUGACGCCUCUUGAAAUCUGCCCCCCCCCCCC